CAAGAGUCAUGUGUGUUCACAGUGGCACAAGACCAUGUGACCUGGACAAUGCAGCAGUGGUCUACUGUCCUGUUCACUGAUGAGUGUCGGAUCACCUUGCACAGAAAUGAUGGUUGUCAGCAUUGCUGGAGAAGGCAAGAGGAAGGUCCAGUGACUCUGGCAUGGGUUGCCAUAGCAAUGUGCAGGACAACAUAGGGGGGGAGGAGGGCUAGAGAGAAGAACUGGGCUUUCAGCAGAACGCAACAAGCCGAAGAGAUGCCAUCUCUGCUGAGGCUCUGAGAGACAUCCAAUCGGACAGUGUGUAGGGGUGAGUAUGCCGUUUUGUCUUUCAGUGUCUGUCUCUUUGAUUGUGUUCUCAUAAAGGGGAGGCUGACAAUGUUGGUCUAAGUGAAAACAAAGGAGAAGAAGAGGGGGAGAGUUUUUCAGGAUGAGAGAGUUAAACUAUUGAUGUUAAAAUGUUAAAAAAUUGAGAAGUUAUAAUAUUGGAUGGAGAGGGGUAGAGAAAGGGACAGACAGUUUGAGUGAAAGACUAC
rnacentral:lncRNA from 1 species